CGAAUUUGUGGAGUGGUGGAAUAUUGCGUUCGGGGACCAGCCCUCCCGUGUGAAGCUGGGACCCAACGGGUCCCACUUAGUCUAGUAAGCUACUAAUUCUGUCGUGUUUUAAAGUGAUUUGAGUGAGUUAAUUGAAGAUUUCAGCUAUUAGUGGAGAUCUGUAGCAAAGUUUGAAAAUGUUCUACAGUUUUAAUUAUCACAUUUGAAAGUUUAGAUUUUGGAGUUGUUUUUAUUUAUUAACUAUAAUUAACUCCAACAUUAGUGGUAGAUUAGAUGUGAGGUUUGAAUGUGAAGAAGUGAAAAGGAAAAUGUGUGUACCUACUACCAUAUUAGGUAAGUAUUAAGCUAAAAAAAAACAUAGAUAUCUGGGUUGUCUAUUUUUUGGUUGCUCUUUGAAUAGUUUUGGGCAUUGUAUAUUCGACAUACAACGCAGCCAAAAUAAUAGGUUUAGCUGGUUGUUUUUCUCAUUUGUGGGAUUGGCUUUAGGGUUUCCCUGUAUACAGGAACAGCACUGGAACCGAUUCAUUGGCUCUGAAGUUGAAACUUCCUGGGGACUUGGUGCAUCCUAUGAGGUAAUUCUUUAUAAGAUGUUUAUGAUGAAAGGAAUGGACUAUUCUUGACCUGUAGCAGUUGUGGAAUCUUGUAUGUCGACAAGUGGGUUUGAUCUUUCAUUCAGUCUAUAAUACUUCCCACCAAUGUCACUGCAGUUAUACCAAUGUGGAAAUGGUCAAAUAAUUAAAAAUGCUAUUCUCUUGAAGUACACAUGUGCAAUGAAUCCAAGUACUAAUAUAUGUAUAUUGCAUGUGCUGCAUACGUCUGUCCCCAUUAAAACCUCCAGUACUCCAAUCGUUGAUGCUUGGGGCUUAACAAUUUUUAAAUCAAAUUUAAAAUGUAAAAUUUCUCAUCUCUUUAUGCACUGAAUUUUCUCCCAUCUUUAUUUUCUUGGGAUGUUAGAUCAGUUACAAUACUGAUUUAUAAAAAAAUCUUUUUGGAUGUAGGAAUUUUAUGUACAGAUGUAUUGGAAGUUUGAAGUAAGUGUCCAUAUUCUCCAGAGACGCAUUCUGACACGCUGUAUUACUCCAGCACUUUGGGUUUUUUUUCUAAGUUUCCUUAACUUUCCUUGUUGCUUCCCAUCCCAGCAGGCACCAUCCUGAUAUGUAUUUUGCAGUUUAUCUCGCAGGAUAAUUGAUAAGAAUAUCUGUACUGGAGAAAUCUUUGCAAUAAUUUUAUAAAUGCAAUGUUAUUUGGAAUGUUCUCCCUUUUCAACUGCUUUUUUUGGGUUCUAAUAUAGUUUCCACUGCAGGAUAAGCAUUUUUAAUUGAAAUCAGUGUUGAGAUCCCUGCACUAUUUUCACUUUCCUGCUGCCUAUGUAAUUCAAAUGUUUAAUAGUUCCACUUAAAUAUCACAAACCUUACUGGGGAUUUCUGUUUUAAACCACCAGAGAUUUGCAAAAGUAACUAUUUCACAGAAUUGUCAUUUACUGAAGAAGGACAUAAAGAAACAUCAUAAAUAGUAUUUUGAGGAUUGAUAAUUUGCUCUCUGCUAUAAUGUUUCUUCUAGGGUGAAAAUGGCUACUCCAACUCUCUGCUGCUAGUUUUCCAAUUGUGGUCAAUUCCUGCCCUGGCUCCAGAGAGAUUGAGACGAUGUGUCAAAACAUUCCCAUCCAGACUAUUGUCUAUGUUCUACACAAUCUGAAAUGAAUGAUGGAAAACUAGGGUGCAUGCAAUACGCCUUAAUUGCUCAAAUGCAUUAUUGUAGUUUUGUUUUGGGGAUUAAAAAAAUAAAUCCAAAAUUGCCAAAACACACCUGGCCCAAAAAUGUUGUAUUUCAGCUCAUCAUUAUGGGUCAAGUGCUUAGAAUUGUGCCGUAGUCAUUGGGCAAUUAUUACACUUCAUUUGUGGAUGAAUUUGCCAGUUAGAACUUGAAGAUCACCCAUUUCCAUGGAUACUUAAGGUAAGUUUCAUUGGGCUACAGGUAAAUUUAAAAUAUACUUCCAUUUCAUAGUGAUCUAAAUUUGCAUGCAAUGUAGCACUAGCUUCACAAAGGUGAAUAUGCAAGGUUGUGAAAGUUUACCUUGGUAGAUGAGUGUGGAGUUGAGAUUAUAAUCUAAGCUGCCAUGAUUUCAUCAAAUUGAACAGGUUGGAACCUGAUGACCUGUUCCUGAUAUGUAUGUAUAAAUUGUUUCUUAAUUUGGUGAUGCUGGCCAUUCCCUUGCAUAUUAUCCUUUAGAUGUGUAAAAGUGCAUGUUAGAUUUAAGGUUUUAUUAUUUGAAAGUCUCACAAUUUAGGAUGCGUAUCACUUGCAGGAAUAUCUUUCCCAGCUAACUUUUAAUUGUCUGUUCAAUAUAAAAUGUAACAGAAACCAACAAACAACCAAAUUCUGUCUAUAAAGUAUUAAAGAUUCAAUGGCAAAAUGUCUGAUAUUUAUUUCCCAACAUGUUGGAAGAUCCAUUUUUAUUUUGUAAUUAGAUGAUCCCUUCUCGUUUUAAUUACGAUUACAAUUGUCUUACCAGAAUCUGUUUCCCACUUAUCAACCCUGUUUAAAACAAUUUAUUACAAGUUUAAAUCAAUUUAUUUUAACACAAUUGCUCUUCCCUCUGAAAUAACCCAUUGUCCCGUGUGGUAAAGAAAAUAUUAUUAUGAUUUAGAAAAAAGGGUGUGGAUGACUGCUCAUGUUUGAUGAAUUUCCUUGUGGUUUACGGUCCUGGUUCCCAAAUUCUGCCAUUGACCAUUUUUGGCCUUAAAUUCCUUUUUCCCCAGGACAUGGAUAGUUGUGACAUUUCUACUUGUCUCAGGAUUUUUUUUUACUGCAUAUGAAUGUAAACUGAACUAGCAUUCUCUAAGCUUUGUUUUUAAAAUAAAGUGUUCAGUAUUUUGUAUGUUUGCUAUUUUGUUCCCCCACCAGGGAACAAAUGCUUGUCUUAAGUGCUAGUUCAUUUAAAUAUAAAAUCUACACGUUGCAAAAUAAAUAUAAAGAUACUUAUUUUUUGUACAUUUA